CAGUCGCUUAACACCAAUAACUCAUUUGAGCGAUACAAGCAAGGUUGUUCUAAGCAACUUCAGUGGAUUUUAAUUUUUAUUAAUAUCAUACUUUAAUUCAAAACAAAAUGCAGCGCAACCCAGCCUUCGCUUCUGCUACCAACAAAGGUUACCAGAACUACUGCAUAUCCCCGAGCCCUUGUGUCGGCCCUCCAAGGAACCAUUACUACCCAAAUGGACAGUUCGUACAACAGCCAUCCUUCCAACCGAACACGUGCUUCAUGCCCGCUUCUGUCAUCCGCAAAAUGAGCAACACAAUGCCACCAAAUGGCUACGGUCGUCGGUUUUAAAGUCCUUUGAGUUCUACCUCUUCACAAGCUCCUGUAACAA